UUUAGGGAAUUAAUAAAUUGUAUGUAUUUUGAAAUAAGAAUGAAAGUGUGGUAACAGUGUGGCAACAGUUUGAAGUUUGAAGAGGUAUUAUUGAAGAGGUUAACCUUUUUGAUAUUGCAUUGCGUUAACAGGAAAAGUUAUAAUGGCUGCUGCAUGGUGGGUCUUGCAGAUUGCCAAUGAAGAAGAAAGAAAUUUGUUAAAAAUUCGAAGGAAACAACUGCGUGAUGCAUCAAAUCCUUUUGAAGUUCCGGACUCGCAGUUUCUUUCUUUAUAUCGACUUUCAAAAGAUGCUGUAAUGAUAUUGUGUCAAGGUAUACAACCUUACGUGCAAAGAGCUGUAAGACCAACAGCAAUUCCGUUUGAAUUAAAGGUUAGUGAUUAUUAUGGCAAAAUAUUAGCUGUAUUGGCAAAUCAUGGAGGUCGGACACAUGAUGCUAGAGUUUGGAGCUCGUCUCGGUUAUCGAGGCACAUGUUAAACGAAUAUGAAAAUGGAAGAAGAAAUGCAUGGUUAUUAGGAGAUUCUGGCUAUCCUUUAUUGCCAUAUUUAAUGACUCCAAAAUUAAAUGAGGCACCAGGAUCUUCAGGUCAGGUGCGUUAUAUACAGAGGCUCAUGUUAGAGCACGAUGUUGUAUAGAGAGAACAAUAGGUGUAUUAAAAGGGCGUUGGAGAUGUUUGCGAAAAGAAAGAGGCUUACAUUAUCUUCCAGAAUUUGCAGGACUUAUAGUAAAUGCGACUUGCGUACUCCACAAUAUUGCAAAACAUUAUGGCAUUGAGGAUGUUGAAAUAUACAGAGAAGAUAUUGAAGAAGUGAAUAUUGAAGCAGAUGAUAUGAAUGCAAAUAUGCGUAGAAGAGGAAAUGUAGUGCGAGAAACAAUAAUAGAAAGAUAUUUUACAUAAAAAUUGUGUUCUAUAUUUUCUAAUAUACUGAAUAUUUUACAUCAGGAGGCGCGGUCACGACUUGGCGCCAUAACGAUUACAUUGCAUAAAAUAAAAACUAAUAUCACAAUUUUA